GUCGAACGGUAACAGGAAGCAGCUUGCUGCUUCGCUGACGAGUGGCGGACGGGUGAGUAAUGUCUGGGAAACUGCCUGAUGGAGGGGGAUAACUACUGGAAACGGUGGCUAAUACCGCAUAACGUCGCAAGACCAAAGAGGGGGACCUUCGGGCCUCUUGCCAUCGGAUGUGCCCAGAUGGGAUUAGCUUGUUGGUGGGGUAACGGCUCACCUAGGCGACGAUCCCUAGCUGGUCUGAGAGGAUGACCAGCCACACUGGAACUGAGACACGGUCCAGACUCCUACGGGAGGCAGCAGUGGGGAAUAUUGCACAAUGGGCGCAAGCCUGAUGCAGCCAUGCCGCGUGUAUGAAGAAGGCCUUCGGGUUGUAAAGUACUUUCAGCGGGGAGGAAGGUGUUGAGGUUAAUAACCUCAGCAAUUGACGUUACCCGCAGAAGAAGCACCGGCUAACUCCGUGCCAGCAGCCGCGGUAAUACGGAGGGUGCAAGCGUUAAUCGGAAUUACUGGGCGUAAAGCGCACGCAGGCGGUCUGUCAAGUCGGAUGUGAAAUCCCCGGGCUCAACCUGGGAACUGCAUUCGAAACUGGCAGGCUAGAGUCUUGUAGAGGGGGGUAGAAUUCCAGGUGUAGCGGUGAAAUGCGUAGAGAUCUGGAGGAAUACCGGUGGCGAAGGCGGCCCCCUGGACAAAGACUGACGCUCAGGUGCGAAAGCGUGGGGAGCAAACAGGAUUAGAUACCCUGGUAGUCCACGCCGUAAACGAUGUCUACUUGGAGGUUGUGCCCUUGAGGCGUGGCUUCCGGAGCUAACGCGUUAAGUCGACCGCCUGGGGAGUACGGCCGCAAGGUUAAAACUCAAAUGAAUUGACGGGGGCCCGCACAAGCGGUGGAGCAUGUGGUUUAAUUCGAUGCAACGCGAAGAACCUUACCUGCUCUUGACAUCCACAGAACGUAUCAGAGAUGAUAUUGUGCCUUCGGGAACUGUGAGACAGGUGCUGCAUGGCUGUCGUCAGCUCGUGUUGUGAAAAUGUUGGUUAAGUCCCGCAACGAGCGCACCUUAUCUUUGAUGCCAGCGAUCAGG
rnacentral:rRNA from 1 species